GGAUUGAAGACCGAUGUGGUCAAGGUGAUCGUCUGAAAAGCGAUAUAUUCCAGUUCGAUUCUGGAUCAGUCCACCA
rnacentral:tRNA from 1 species